rnacentral:lncRNA from 8 species
AUCCUGAUCAGAACAAGGAUGUUCAAGGUGAAAACGAGAAGAAAGGACAAGAGCAGAAGAAGCAGCGAUGGGAGCCCCAGCAGCAGAGACUUGACAACCAGGCCAGAGGCAGAGGGGGAAACUCUGCCAGGAGGGGUGGGGAUUUUAGCGGAAUGGGUGGAUGCGGAACUAACCAGCCCAGAGACUUCUCUCACAGGGGUGGAGGUGGUUCCAACAGGGGUGGAGAGUGGAGCAAUAGAGGCCGGGGCUGUGACAAGAGGGGCGGUUUUCUCAGAAGAGGUGAUUGGUCAAAGCGAGGCACUGACCGGUCACGUAGAGGUGAACGACAGUUCCCAAAUGAUGUACGUUUAACACUGGUAAUUCAAAAUGAAAUCAUGCAUACUUCCUUGUCAAUACCCAUAGAAAUGUCAUUUGUAGCUUUACGAUGUGCUCGGUUACAGCUAAGGUUCCCAAGUCGGUGAUUUCAGUCUAAUGUACAUUUUCACAGCUGAUUCCAACCUCUUCCAGGAAACUUUGACUGGAAAGGGGAAGAAGAACAUGACAAAGGAAUUCAAAGACCAGAAUGCUUUGGAGAUUGACGGAAGGUUAAUCUGUCGACAUUUCCUCAGGGGAAAGUGCAUCAAGGCAGGUUUCUGUAUUUUAUCAUUAGAAAUUGUAACAAUAUUAAUGGCCACUUGUCAUUGAACCUAAACCCAAUAUAUUCAAAUGAUAGUCGGGUAUGUUUAUGUUGACUUCUUUUACAGUCAAUACUGUCAGUGGCCUAACCCAUUUGUAUAGAGACCCCAACAACUUAUUUUGUUUUGCAGGGUGAUGACUGCCAGCUAGAACAUGCUCUGGACGUCAACUACUCGAUCAACGAAGUGUGUAAAUUCUACGUCCAGGGAUCCUGUUCGAAAGGAGAGAGCUGCAUAUACAUGCACAAGAGUUUCCCCUGCAAGUUCUUCCAUACUUAUGAGAAGUGCUAUCAAGGAGACCAGUGCAGGUUUUCCCAUGAACCCCUGACUGAGCUUACCAAACAGCUACUGGAGGCAGCAUUGAAGAGGGACAAGGACAUUGAGGAACUGGCUAAAAAGGACAAGCCAAUCAGCAUGGAGGAGCCAGUGGCCACAAAGGAGUCGGUGACCGCUGAGGAGACAAAGCCUGUCAUUGCCAUAUUCCUGAAUCCGCUAAGGCCAAACUUUUACAACAGCUCAUGCCCCUCUGAGCCACAUGGUGAGGAAAGUACCCCCGUGUGUCAGAAUGAAGUGUCAGUUGAGGUCGUGGAGAAGGAAAUUUCCCCUCCUACAGAGUCCGUUCGGUCUCCUGAUCCUCCCCCAAACGCUGGCUUUAAGAAACCGGUUUCUUAUUCAGUUGAGGCUGUGCUUGGGUCCCAUAGGCCCCUUGAAAAACCCUUCCGCAGCUUCUUUGCAGCCUCUAUCAGCCAGACCUCACAGACCCAACCAGAUCCCCCCACAACUACAUUAGUUCCUCCAGACUCUAUCCACCCUCGUGAUCCACCCCUGAACUCUACAUGCGGCAAGAGAAAUGUUCCUUAUUCAGUCGAAGCUGUGCUUGGAUUCCAGAAGCCUGUAGAAAAACCCUUCUGCAGCCAAUUUUCAGGAUCCAUCACCCAGACCUUCACACUCCCCACACAGAUCCAAUCAGAUUCCCCCAGCACUACAUUCGUUUCUCCAGACCCCAUUAGUUCGUCUGAUCCUCGUCUGAAUAAGAGGCAGGCUUCUUAUUCAGUUGAUGCUUUCUCUACGACCCAGAAGCCAGUGAAAAAACCCUUUUGCAGUCUCUUUGCAGGGACGAUCAGCCAGACCUCCACUACACCUCUCAUACAGAACUCUGCUAAUUCUCCAAUCAACACCCUAAAGUCCCACAAGCCUGUGGAUAACCCUGUCACCAGCCUCGUUGCAGGCCCCAUCACCCAGUUCUCUCGCCACUCUGAUAUACAGACCCAGCUAGAUCGUCCUAGCACUACAUUAAAUCCUCCAGACUCCAUUCGGCCCCCUGAUCCUCCUUCAGUCUAUAAGAGGCCGGCUUAUUAUUCAGCUAAAGCUGUGCUUGGAUCUCCUAAACCUUUGAAACCAUCCUUCAGCAGCCUCUUUGCAAGCCCCAUCAGCCAGACAUCUCCCCAACCUUCCACACAGACCCAACCAGAUUCCCCUAGCACUACAUUUGGUCCUUCAGUCUCUGCUCCUCCUGCAGGCUGUAAAAGGCCGGAGUCGUAUUAUGUUACGGCUGUGCUUGAGCCCUAUAAGCCUGUGGAAAAUCCCUUCUGCAGCCUUUUUGCAGGAACCAUCAGCCAGACCAAUAUCGACCCUCCCUCACAGUCCCUAAACUCCCCAGGUUGUAAGGCACCAGCUUCUAAAAAGCCCAUGGGAAAACCCUUCCUUAGCCUCUUUGCAGGCCCCAUCAGCCAGACAACCCUCCCUGACCCUCCCAGACAGACACAACCAAAUCCCCCCAGAACUGCAUUUGGUCCUUCAGACCCCAUUCGGUCUUCUGAGCCUCUUCCAGUAUGCAAGAGACGGACAUCCUCAGUUGAGGCUGUCAGUGAGUCCCAAAAGUCCAUGGAAAAACCAUUCCGUAGCCUCUUUGCCGUCCCGCUCACACAGACCUCCACUUCCGGCCAUCCAACACAGACCCAACCAGAUCCCCCUAGAAAUUUCACUGGUUGUAAUAGACCAGCUUCUGAUUCAGUUGAGGCUAUGCUUGAGACUCAGAAGCCAGUGGGAAAACCCUUUCGCAGCCUCUUUGAGGGCCCCAUCAGCCAGACAACCCUCCCUGACCCUCCAACACAGACCUGGCCUUAUCCCCCAAUAGUCAAGCCUAAACCGGAGGUGCCAGACCCAACACCGCUCACCGGUAAGGGCCUGCUUUACUCAAUACAAUACUUUAAAUGUCCCUUUGCGGGAAAUGCAACUAUAUUACUGACAUUUCAUCACCACUUCUUGGCCUCCAGAGCCAUCCACAACCCAUUCUGUUCUGAGGACCCUCUUCCUACGCCUGAGCCCAUGCCGCCAGGAGGGGGAGCAGGCGAUCAGUAACGGCUGCAAAGAUCCAG